rnacentral:rRNA from 1 species
UACAGAGGGUGCGAGCGUUAAUCGGAGUUACUGGGCGUAAAGGGUGCGUAGGCGGCUUUCUAAGUUGGAUGUGAAAACUCUGGGCUCAACCCAGAGACUGCAUCCAAAACUGGAGAGCUUGGGUUCUGGAGGGGAAAGCGGAAUUCCUGGUGUAGCGGUGAAAUGCGUAGAUAUCAGGAGGAACACCGGUGGCGAAGGCGGCUUUCUGGACAGAUACCGACGCUGAGGCACGAAAGCUAGGGGAGCAAACAGG